rnacentral:miRNA from 1 species
AAGGAUUGGGUGAUUGGGUACUUUCUUUUUUAAAAAAAAACCAAAAAAAAAAACCCACCGUUUCCUCCAG